GUUUCCGGUCCGGUGGGUGCAAGAUGACGGAGCCGGGCGCCUCUCCCGAGGACCCUUGGGUCAAGGUGGAGUAUGCCUACAGCGACAACAGCCUGGACCCCGGUGAGUAGCCGCCCCGUCUUAAGCUCUAGAGGGACACUCCCGUCCAGGCUUUCUAGAUUCUUGUGGCCUUGCCAACCACGCCUGAGCACAGUCCACUGUCCCUGAGCAGAGUUCCUGGCUUGAGACAGCAGGAGCUGAAGGACAAGGGCAGAAAACAACUGAGGGUGACACCUAGUUCCCUCUGCUCUGGAACAGGGAAGUGGUGGAACUAGUGACAGCUGAUCACUCACACCCUCAUCACGUCCAGAUGCCCGUUUGUGAGCCAGGGGUAUCAUGCAGGCCUAUGGAGCAGUGUAGACACUAGGGAGCAGAGCACUGCAGCGUGGUCUGGCAGGAAGUGGGGGGCCCAGUAUGGUUGGCUUUGAGUUGAAGGGAAGAGGUCAGCAUUUAAGAAAGCCAUUGUGUGGCCGGGCGCGGUGGCUCACUCCUG
rnacentral:sRNA from 1 species